GAUGAACGCUGGCGGUAUGCUUAACACAUGCAAGUCGAACGGUGUCUUAGGACAUAGUGGCGGACGGGUGAGUAACGCGUGAGAAUCUGGCUUCAGGUCGGGGACAACAGUUGGAAACGACUGCUAAUACCGGAUAUGCCGAGAGGUGAAAGAUUAAUUGCCUGGAGAUGAGCUCGCGUCUGAUUAGCUAGUUGGUGGGGUAAGAGCCUACCAAGGCGACGAUCAGUAGCUGGUCUGAGAGGAUGAUCAGCCACACUGGGACUGAGACACGGCCCAGACUCCUACGGGAGGCAGCAGUGGGGAAUUUUCCGCAAUGGGCGAAAGCCUGACGGAGCAAUACCGCGUGAGGGAGGAAGGGCUCUUGGGUCGUAAACCUCUUUUCUCAAGGGAAGGAAAAAUAGACGGUAACCUGAGGAAUAAGCAUCGGCUAACUCCGUGCCCAGCCGCCGCAGU
rnacentral:rRNA from 1 species